CAAAAAGCGUAGAUUGAGAAAAGUAGCAUAAAUUAUCGCUUCCAGUGAGCGGGAGACAGUGGGAACUCCGCAGAGUGAAUUUAUGUGAAGAACACUCAGGAGCUGUAAUCUGAACAUCCUAAGGAUUAGUAGGUGCGCCGCAGGCUGUGCGUUAUUCAGCAUACCAGAGAGGCUGCAGGGCAGCAAAUCAGGUGGUACCGCGGAACUUGUACAGUUGUCCGUCCUGAAU
rnacentral:ncRNA from 1 species